ensembl:lncRNA
CUAGAGUCAGUCCAUUUCCUGUUGCCUUUUGGUCAAGAUGUAGCCAAAACCAUGUCUGCUUGCAUAUCACCCUUCUCCCCACCAUGAAGAAAAUGAACUGAACCUCUGAAACUGUCACUGUCCAUCAUUUUGAUGAAGCCAAGGAAGCUGGAACUUCAAAGAGCUAGUCACAGAACAUCCACAAGUUCUGGUUGGUGUCCGAGAAGUUCAAGGCCAAGACAACAGCAGAUUUGCUCUUGUUUUAUAGGCACUCACAGCCAGGAGCUGGAACUGCACGAAGCUCUGUAUGGAACAGAGGACACCUUGAUGUUUUCCUGCAUGGAUGUUAGGCAUCAUGUGCAUGCCUGGUACCUACAGAUGCCAGAAGACGGUGUCAGCUCCUCUGGAACUGGAGUUACAGAUGGUUGUGAUCUGUCAUGCCAGUGCUGGGAAUUGAUCCCAGGUGCUUUAGGAGGAGCAGCCAGUGCUCUAACCACUGGACAAUAUCUCCAGCCCACAAUCCAGAAGGUUCGUCACAGCUGCAAGACAGAUCCUGACAAUAUUGUGACCCUCCUGGAGGAAGGAAAGCCGGUUCUGUCUUGACAUCUUCUGCUGUCCUUGGAACUUUGAAGCUUGUUCUGGGCCCCUGAACACUGCUGGGGAGAGACAGCAGCACUGAAGAUGUAUAUAUGUGCCUCCUCCCAAUCAUUUGGAUCAUGGCUCUCAAUGACGAUCGAUCGACCAUCAAGAUGAGGAAGUAAACACGCUGUAAGAAAAUGAGUGUCUCUCUGUGGUUGUGAUACAUGUUCCGUCGGCUAAGACCAGCCUCAGCCUCUAACUCAGAGAUUCUGUCUUUGGCCAGAGGCCAUGGCCAUCAAUACUGCCUCUGGGCGCAUCUGUCCCCCAUCAGCCACUUACUGACUAAGGCCAGGGACAAAUGGCAAAUCUGAGGUCCGCUUGGGGCAGAGAGCUCUGCAUCAUGAUUACUGAGCUGUAGGACGUCUCUCCCUGACACUGACAUAUCACAGUGCUACUUGCAUUAACCCAGCCACCUGCCCGUAAGAGCCAAAUGACUAGCUGCCCUCCAUAGAGGUCACGUGCCACCAAGAUGCAUCGCACAUUUCACCCUUAGGUGCCUGCACACUGGGAGUUGAAAAUUUGUGUCCACUAAGUGACCACCUAGCUGAGAAAGGUCAGAGUGCAAACGUACCACCUUUACCUGCCAUAUGUCCUCGUGGGGAUUGGUUUGAUGUGGAAUGGGUCACCAGGAGGGGUCUUCACAUCCCAAGGUCUCUUCUCCUGACAGACCUGGGCUUUGUGACAGGAGGCAGCCCUGAUCUUCAGUUCCAAGGACAGUGAAGCCAUCACUGUCAGUGAUACCUCAGCUGUAAGGGACAGGCCCAAGAGCUAUCAGCUUUGUCUGUAGAAUGGAAGGUAGUGUAGAGGGCUUGGGGAGGAGUCAGGGAGGGCAUUGAGGCUAGGGGAGGUGAGAAUAGUGAGAGCUGUCACCAGGCUGCCAGGUAGAGAUGCCACUCGGCUGGGGAAAGAGUCAGAACUGGAACUGCAGAAGCAAGAGUUGCCCAUAUGGAGAGUGAGAGCCAGCAGUGGAUUGAAUCCAAGGGAGAGCUUCCAAACAGGGGAUGUCUGUAUUUGCUCACAGGGAGGAGAAAAACAUUGAUGGAGAUAGAUGAAGAGCCAUCGAGGAAGAAGGGUCCCGAGAAAACUUGCUCAUGAGUCUUCAAAGUGGAGGAACUGGCCGGUCAUUGAAAAUGCCACUGAGAGGGCAUAGGUGGCACCAGAUAUGAGCUUGGGGUGGGGCUGGCCACAGGCAGAAGGCUAUUCUUCCUGAGGUCCAGAGCAGGCUUGAGUGAAAGCAGCACAAUGCC